rnacentral:rRNA from 1 species
AGCGAACGCUGGCGGCAGGCUUAACACAUGCAAGUCGAACGGGCACUUCGGUGCUAGUGGCAGACGGGUGAGUGACACGUGGGAACGUACCUUUCGGUUCGGAAUAAUACAGGGAAACUUGUACUAAUACCGGAUACGCCCUUUGGGGGUAAGAUUUAUCGCCGAUUGAUCGGCCCGCGUUUGAUUAGCUAGUUGGUGAGGUAAUGGCUCACCAAGGCGACGAUCAGUAGCUGGUCUGAGAGGAUGAUCAGCCACACUGGGACUGAGACACGGCCAGACUCCUACGGGAGGCAGCAGUGGGGAAUAUUGGACAAUGGGCGCAAGCCUGAUUCGGCCAUGCCGCGUGAGUGAAGAAGGUCUUCGGAUUGUAAAGCUCUUUUGCCAGGGACGAUAAUGACGGUACCUGGAGAAUAAGCCCCGGCAAACUUCGUGCCAGCAGCCGCCGUAA